rnacentral:rRNA from 1 species
UGGCGCUCGGUGGGGCGUGAGAAACCGGAGAGGGUCGCGCAUAUCUAAUAAGCGGAGGAAAAAGAAACCAACAGGGAUUACCUCAGUAACGGCGAGUGAAGCGGUAACAGCUCAAAUUUGAAAGCCGGCCCUCUCGGGGUCCGCGUUGUAAUUUGCAGAAGAUGCUUCGGGUGGGGCCCCGGUCUAAGUUCCUUGGAACAGGACGUCACAGAGGGUGAGAAUCCCGUACGUGACUGGGCGCCCCCGCCCGUGUGAAGCUCUUUCGACGAGUCGAGUUGUUUGGGAAUGCAGCUCUAAAUGGGUGGUAAAUUUCAUCUAAAGCUAAAUAUUGGCCAGAGACCGAUAGCGCACAAGUAGAGUGAUCGAAAGAUGAAAAGCACUUUGGAAAGAGAGUUAAACAGUACGUGAAAUUGUUGAAAGGGAAGCGCUUGCAACCAGACUUGCGCGCUGGCGAUCAUCCGGGCUUCUGCCCGGUGCACUCGCCAGCGCUCAGGCCAGCAUCGGUUCCCGUGGUGGGAUAAAGGCCCUGGGAACGUAGCUCCUCUCGGGGAGUGUUAUAGCCCAGGGUGCAAUGCCGCCCACGGGGACCGAGGACCGCGCUUCGGCUAGGAUGCUGGCGUAAUGGUUGUAAGCGACCCGUCUUGAAACACGGACCAAGGAGUCUAACAUCUAUGCGAGUGUUUGGGUGCCAAACCCAUACGCGCAAUGAAAGUGAACGGAGGUGAGAACCCUGAAGGGCGCAUCAUCGACCGAUCCUGAUGUCUUCGGAUGGAUUUGAGUAAGAGCAUAGCUGUUGGGACCCGAAAGAUGGUGAACUAUGCGUGAAUAGGGUGAAGCCAGAGGAAACUCUGGUGGAGGCUCGCAGCGGUUCUGACGUGCAAAUCGAUCGUCAAAUUUGCGUAUAGGGGCGAAAGACUAAAUCGAACCAUCUAGUAGCUGGUUCCCUGCCGAAAGUUU